GAUGAACGCUGGCGGCGUGCCUAACACAUGCAAGUCGAGCGAAGCGGGGACGGGUCAGUAACACGUGAAUAACCUCCUAUAAGACUGGGAUAACUUAGGGAAACCGGAGCUAAACCGGAUACUUAUAGAUGGAUCCGCGCUGCAUUAGCUAGUUGGUAAGGUAACGGCGUACCAAGGCAACGAUGCAUAGCCGACCUGAGAGUGUGAUCGGGCUGACUGGAACUGAUGCAAGUGCCCGACUCCUACGGAAGUCAGCAGUAGGGGAUGUUCCGCAAUUGGCGAAAGCCGGACAGGACAAGACCGCGUGAGUGAUGAGGGUCUUCGAAUCGUAAGACUCUGUUAUUAGGUAAGCGGUACCUAAUCAGAAAGCCACGGCUAACUACGUGCCAGCAGCCGCGGUAAUAC
rnacentral:rRNA from 1 species